GCGUGCGGACUGCGCAUGCGUUCGGCACGCCACUGCCUCGCCAUGGCUGGGAUAGGAGCUUGCGGCGAGUGUCGCGUUGCGUCCGGUUCGACUGCAGUUCGACUCGGUGAUGGCGGAGGCUUUGGGCGCGGUCCGGUAGGGGCAUCAGGGAAGUACCUGGUGCCUGGAUAUCCGGGAAACCUCGAGAAUCGCUACGUGGCCGAAGGCUGCCGGCCAAGCAUCCGCUCGGCGAGGGCUUUUUCAUUCAGCUCGUACCACUGUGCCCUCGCCGCACGUGUUGCAGCCCUCAUGCCACCUCCAGAAAUCACAGAACCUUGCGGCCCACUGAGGCUGUACGCAGAGUGCCGGGAGCCGUGCUUAGUGAUCUUCGAUUUUCACAAGGGCCCUGCAGGGAAAACGCUUGGCACGUAGAAGGCUUCAACGAAUUGGAUGCAUGCAUGCAUGAACGAACCUACACUAGUCCAGAAGGUGAGGAUUACAAGUUCCUGAGAGGAGGAGGUGGGAGUUUUCAGCUUUAUUGAGAUAGGAUGGCCACACAAGCUUUCUCUGAGGCAGUGACAUUUGAUCUGAGACCUGAAAAAGCCAGCCAUGGGAAGAAAAUCUGGGAAAAGGGUGUUGUAGGCAGGAAGCACAGAAGACACCAAGGCCCUGAGCAGGAACAAGUCCAGUAAGAGUGAAGAGCAGAGAGAGGUGUGAGAGGGAGAGGCACAGCUAAGGUUUGAGAGCCCAGAGCCCGCAGUGAGGAAAUGGACUUCAUUCUCAGGGCUCAAGGUCACAUUCCUAGUGAAUGCUAGGGCUGGAAGUCAAGCAACUCGUCAGCCUGUAAAACCUAAUCUCUCACCUUUGUCCCAGGAUGAUACCCACCUCACAGACUCGUCCAGGUCACUAGAGAAAACUUAGAACGCGCCUGGCGCAAGAUAGACGUGCCACCGGUGUCCCCUUUCUCCUGGUUUUCCUAUAAAUUAUAGGUUUGAUCCUGUCACACGCUCACUACUGAUUGAUCACUCUAAAUUAUUCUUCUUUAUUCAUACGUAAUGCUUUUUGCCUACUGGUUCACUUUAGUAUAAAUAUGACCAAACGCAUUUUCUAUUGAUUCAACUGAUCAGUAUAUCUUUACUUGUAUUUUUAGCCCUCUGGUGUCAUCUUAGCCCUGGGUCCUUUGUCCUAGCCCCUGGCUUUACAUGUUAUUCCAAAUUUGUAUCUUGUCCACACCUUACCCUUGACCUCCAGGUUUGACUGUCAGCUGUCUACACCGUGUCUCGGAUGCCCAGGUUCGUCCUGGGCUCCUCCUCUUCUGUCCUCCCAUUUUCUAAUCAGCCUGUGCCCACCCCCCACCCCACCAUCAGCUCCACCAGCUCUGUAAAUGCCACUGCAGUGUACCUUGUCCCUGAAGCUAGGUCCCUCCUAUGUCUUCCCCGUGCCUCAGUGCCCCUAGCCAGCCUGUCCGCGGGCCCUGUUGGUUGGGCCCUGCAGGCAGGGCCCACGUCCCCUGCUCCUCUCCAUCCGUUGCCACCUGUGCCAGCCAGUCUGCCUCUUCGCCCACCUGGCCGUCAGAGUCGCCUCCCGAAUGGUCCCCUUCCGCUUUGCUCCCCUGCAUCCACUUCCCCCACAGCAUUUGGGAAAAAGGUUUAUAAAGUAUCAGAUGGUCCUUCUGCCUAGAACCUCCCAGGGAUUUCUUUUUCCAUUUAGAAUAAAACCCAAGCUCCUGACCAUGAUGCAUAAGGCCCUACAGCUAAUCUGGCCCCUGCCUUCCUCUCCAGCCUCAUUCCACCUCCAUCACCACCACCACCUGUUGGCCAUGUUCUAAUUAAUAGUGGCUUCCUUUCUGCUCUUGAAUAGACCAAGCACCUGCCUGACUCAGGACCUUGGACUUGCUAUUUCCUUUCCUAGAAUACACUCUCCUCGACUCUUCAUUGCAGGGUUUUUCUCAUUCUGCGUGUCUUCACUCUGCUGUCACCUCAAAGAGCUGAGCCCUGCCCUAUUAUUGAAGUCCAAUGCCCUGAUCCCACCUUUUGGUUACCGUCUCUUGUGUCAUGUUUUAUUUCCCACAGAAUACUAUCACCGUGUUCAUUUUGCUUGUUGUCUGACUCUACCACAGGAUAUAAAUUCUAUGACAAUAGGGACCCUUUUCACCUUAUUUGCUCCUGUGUCCUCAUUGCCUCAUAUGUAGCAGUUCUUUUUUUU